rnacentral:snRNA from 1 species
GGGCUCGCAUCAGCAGCACACAGGCUAAAAGUGGAACAAUACAGAGAAGACUUGCAUGGCCCCGGUGCAAGGAUGACACGCAAAUUUAUGAUGCGUUCCAUAUUUUU